rnacentral:rRNA from 1 species
UACGAAGGGGGCUAGCGUUGCUCGGAAUUACUGGGCGUAAAGCGCACGUAGGCGGCUUUCUAAGUCGGGGGUGAAAUCCUGGAGCUCAACUCCAGAAUUGCCUUCGAUACUGUACGGCUCGAGACCGGAAGAGGUAAGUGGAACUGCGAGUGUAGAGGUGAAAUUCGUAGAUAUUCGCAAGAACACCAGUGGCGAAGGCGGCUUACUGGUCCGGUUCUGACGCUGAGGCGCGAAAGCGUGGGGAGCAAACAGG